AUGUACCCUUGUCAUUUUCAUUUUUCCCCAAAAGAAGCAAAAUUCACCAAAUUGAAGAUCAUUUUGGGCGGUGUCAUUUCAUUUCCCCCAAAUCAACAAAAGUUGCGAUAAUUUCAUCUCUGUGGAGGAGGUGAUUCUUCUUCGAAUCUUCAUCUUACCCAAAAUUGGCUCGCUUGUGCUUUAGCACAGGUGCGUCGGCGUUAGCGAACUGUGUAGAAGCUCCAACUGGUUCAGCAAACCCUCUGAAGUCACACCCAGUUGUGCGAAGUUUCAAUACGUGGACUAUUAUUGAUGCUUGAAGAUGUAAUGGUACUACUCCGCGACGAGACCACUUUACUGCUUCAUACAUAUAUGACUGCCCGUACUAGGCGUGCAAGAAGAUAAAUUAUAGAACAUGCGAUGCGGUAUAGUAUAUUGAACAAAACUCCAGCUCAACUUAAGUAUCUCGAUCGUCUAGUACACUUGUCAGACACCGAUUGCGUAUCCAAUCUCCGUAUGGAACGGAGCACCUUCGGAAAACUAUGUCGCAUUUUAUAUGAGAGGGGGGGUUAAAGUUUGGGUAUUGAAGAAAAGGUUGCCAUUUUUCUUGGAGUACUUGCGCACCUCCAGAAAAAUUGUUAUGUUCGGUUCACUUUCGUUCAUUCCGGGGUUACUGUGUCGCAUUCUGUGCGUAAAGUGCUUGCAGUUGUUUUUAGUCUGCACAUUGUCCUUCUGUCCAAACCCACACCAGUCCCUAUUGACUCUACUAAUCAUAGGUGGAUGUGGUUUAAGGGAUGUCUUGGGGCAUUGGACGGUACCCAUAUUGAUGUGUUGGUAUGAAACAAGGAUAAACCAAGGUACAUGACAAGAAAAGGACACAUUGCUACAAAUACGUUGGCCGUUUGUGACCGAAACAUGCAAUUCGUGUACUUCUUGGCUCUAUGGGAAGGCUCCGCAUGUGACUCGCGUGUAUUGCGACAUUCAGUUUCUCAGAUUAAUGGGCUUAAGGUUCCCCAAGGGUGCUACUACCUAUGUGACAAUGCCUAUGCUAAUAGUAACGGCUUUCUCACCCCCUACAGAGGUGUACGAUAUCAUCUCAUGGGAUGGGGACCUGAUACAGAUGCUCCACAGAACCCUAAGGAACUAUUCAAUAUGCGUCACACUAAAGCCAGAAACGUGAUUGAACAGGCUUUUGUAGUUUUGAAAAUGAGGUGGGGAAUUCUGAGAAGUGCAUCGUUCUACCCUAUUCAGACUCAGAUCCGGCUGAUCAUGACGUGCUUUUACUACAUAAUUUUAUUCGCCAGGAAAUGGCAAUAGAUCCUGUGGAAGCUGCCCUAGACUGCUACAUUGACACACUCAAUGCAGAAGAAGAAAAUGUUGGUAUAGAUUAUGUUGGCAAACGAUUGGACCGCUAUACAAGAGAACUUGGCAAACGAAAUGUGGAACAUGCGCUAUAUGUAGCAAUCGUCAUGUCUUCUUCUGAUCGGAUCUCGGACUGUGUGUGUGGAGCUGGACAAAUGGAACUUCAUAGUGCGGUACAGGCAGCGACGUAUGUCGGCCGCUAUUACCUGAAAUGUCAUGUGAAUGGGAAGCAUGUAGGGUCAUUCAAGUGGUACGACGAGUACCAGAGGGAAGAUCAUUCGUUGGGUCUGGGGAAGUAUCCAAAUAGAGAUAACACCUCAGUUAUUUUUAUUCAGAUUGUGUCAAAUCGCACAAGACAAUAGUGAUUACUAUAUCUCAUUACCUAUUUCUAACCAUUUCAAGCGUUGGUCUUUUAAAGUGAUAUUGGGGAUAUGAUUUGCCUUAAAUGAUCAACUUGCAUGUAAUGAUUACCAUUGGUAGCUAU